CUGAGUUUUAAACUCCCAAACCCGUGUGAACUUGCCUCUCGUUGCUUCGGCGGCCUCGCCCCGGGUGCCCUCGCGGCGCCCCGGACCCAGGCGACCGCCGGAGGACCACAAACUCUUGUUUCCUAGCGAAUCUUCUGAGUGGAUUAUACAAAUAAAUCA
rnacentral:misc_RNA from 1 species